rnacentral:ncRNA from 1 species
AAAUAUUUGAGUUUGAUGAUGGCUCUGAUUGAACGCUAUCCAAGUGCUUGACACAUGCUAAUCGUACGACAUCAUAUUAAAAAUGAUGUAGUGGUGUACAGGUGAGUAAAUAAUAUUUUGGCUACCUUAAAGAAAGGUUAAAUUCCUUAUAUAAGAAAGAAACUAAGGUUUCGCUUUAAGAUGUUAAUAAAUAUUUUCGGUGAAUAUAUAGUAGUAGAAAAGGUAAUAUCUUAACUAGCUAUAAGCCGUAGUCGUGACUGAGAGGUCGAUCGACCACAUUGGGUCUGAAAAAACCCCAAUGCGUAUUAGUACAGCAGUGAGGAAUAUUGGUCAAUGGCCUAACGGCUGAACCAGCAACUUGGAGGAAUAAAUGUAAUGAUAAAUAAUAUCAUUAUUUUUCUAAAUAGAAAAAUGAUUAUGACAAUUUUUUAUUUAUAAGUCUUGACCAAAUUACGUGCCAGCAGUCGCGGUAAUACGUAGAAGACAAGUGUUAGUCAUCUUGAUUAGGUUUAAAGGGUACCUAGACGGUAAAAUAAAUCCGAUAAGGAUAUUUAUUUACUAGAGUUUUAUAGGAGAAAGGGAGAACUUUUGGAGUAAAGAUAUAAUUUUUUAAUACCAAUAGGACUGAUAACGGCGAAGGCAGCUUUCUAUGUAAAAACUGACGUUGAGGGACGAAGGCUUGGGGAGCGAAAAGGAUUAGAUACCCUAAUAGUCCAAGCAGAAAAUUAUGAAUGCCAUAAGUUAGAUUCAACAUUUAACUUAAAAAAUGUAUUAAAUCUUUAAUACAUUUUAUAUAUUUAAAAAUUAAAUACAUAGAUUAGUUUUUAAUAUAAAAGAGUUAAAUGUUAAAAAUAUAUUUAACAUAUAAAUGAAAGUGUAAGCAUUCCACCUUAAGAGUAAGAUGGCAACAUUGAAACUGAAAUCAUUAGACCGUUUCUGAAACCAGUAGUGAAGUAUGUGUGCGACAAGAAACGUAUAUUAGUAAUGCGGUGAAAUCCCGCUAGGUCGUCUCUACCUAACACUAUCUAC